GAUGAAGAACGUAGCGAAAUGCGAUAAGUAAUGUGAAUUGCAGAAUUCAGUGAAUCAUCGAAUCUUUGAACGCACAUUGCGCCCCCCGGUAUUCCGGCGGGCAUGCCUGUUCGAGCGUCAUUUCAACCAUCAAGCCCCCAGGGGCUUGUGCUGGGGCCCUGCGGCUGCCCGCAGGCCCUGAAAACCAGUGGCGGGCUCGCUAGUCACACCGAGCGCAGUAGCACAUCUCGCUCAGGGCGUGCGGCGGGCUCCUGCCGUGAAACCCCCCACUGUAACCCCAAAGGUUGACCUCGGAUCAGGUAGGAAUACCCGCUGAACUUAAGCAUAUCAAUAAGCGGAGGA
rnacentral:misc_RNA from 1 species